rnacentral:snoRNA from 1 species
CAAAAAGCAGGGCUCUGUUUUGUACGUAACAGAGUUCACGUAAAUGUCAGGAAAAUCGAAUUGGUCAUCGUGUUUGGGUGAACCUACGUUUCUUAUAAUAUCUGUUGGGUUCAGUUCAUGAUGGUACAUUG